UACGUAGGGGGCAAGCGUUAUCCGGAUUUACUGGGUGUAAAGGGAGCGUAGACGGCAGUGCAAGUCAGAAGUGAAAGGUCGGGGCUCAACCCCGGGACUGCUUUUGAAACUGUGCAGCUAGAGUGCAGGAGAGGCAAGCGGAAUUCCUAGUGUAGCGGUGAAAUGCGUAGAUAUUAGGAGGAACACCAGUGGCGAAGGCGGCUUGCUGGACUGUAACUGACGUUGAGGCUCGAAAGCGUG
rnacentral:rRNA from 1 species